CAGAAUUUUCAUUUCGGUGCAUCCCUAUAUACUAAGCCAGACACUGAAGCAGUAGGCCUACAACACAUCAAUGUUUGGCUUAGUAUAUAGUGAUAGGGGUUAUGCUACAUUAUUGGCAAUGUCUGGCUCAAUGUAUAGUGAUAGGUGUUAUGCUGUACCCCUGUCAAUGGUAUGCAGUUUUU